GAUGAAGAACGCAGCGAAAUGCGAUAAGUAAUGUGAAUUGCAGAGUUCAGUGAAUCAUCGAAUCUUUGAACGCACAUUGCGCCCGCCAGUAUUCUGGCGGGCAUGCCUGUCUGAGCGUCAUUUCAACCCUCAUGCCCCUAGGGCGUGGUGUUGGGGAUCGGCCAAAGCCCGCGAGGGACGGCCGGCCCCUAAAUCUAGUGGCGGACCCGUCGUGGCCUCCUCUGCGAAGUAGUGAUAUUCCGCAUCGGAGAGCGACGAGCCCCUGCCGUUAAACCCCCAACUUUCCAAGGUUGACCUCAGAUCAGGUAGGAAUACCCGCUGAACUUAAGCAUAUCAAUAAGCGGAGGA
rnacentral:misc_RNA from 1 species